CCCCCCUCACAGCCCCCCCCUUGUGCCCCCCCAGGCCACAGACCCGGUGCUUCCCCUGCUGGCCACCAGCACUGAGGAGGGCCGCAAGGUGCAGCGCAGCGGGGGGGUCACGUACCCAGCUGUGUUCCGCCGCGUGGCCGAGCGAGACGAUGGGUGACGGGGGGACCUUCGUGUCACCCUGGGGACCUCCUGGCACUGGGGGGUCCUCCCGGACACCGCGGGGACAGCGCUGACACCGUGAGGUCCUCCUGUCACCAUGAGGUCAUCGUGGGGUCCUCCUGUCACUGUGAGGACCUCCUGUCACCCUGAAGUCCUCCUGUCGCUUUGGGGACAGCGCUGACACCAUGAGGUCCUCCUGUCACCAUGAGGUCUUCGUGGGGUCCUCCUGUCACCGUGGGGACACUUCUGUCACCCUGAGGUCCUCCUGCCACCAUUGGGACCGUCCUGUUGCUGUGGGGACCUUCCUGUCACCCUGAGGUCCUCCUGUCACCAUGAGGUCACCGUGGGGUCCCCCUGUCACCAUGGGGUCCUCCUGUCACCAUGAACACAGUUUGUCAUUGAGGUCCUCCUGUCACCAUGAACACACUUUGUCAUUGAGGUCCUCCUGUCACCGUGGGUCCUCCUGGACCCCACGGAGGCAGCGCUGACACCCCGAAGUCCUCCUGUCACCAUGAUGUCACCAUGACGUUCUCCUGUCACCCUGCGCUCCUCCAGGACACCACGGGGUCCUGCUGUCACCAGUUGGACCCCCCCCAUUACCCCAUGCUCCCCAUGUUGGUGCCCCCCCCGCCCCCCCCCAAUUUGUCAAUA
rnacentral:lncRNA from 1 species